AAAUUGAAGAGUUUGAUCAUGGCUCAGAUUGAACGCUGGCGGCAGGCCUAACACAUGCAAGUCGAACGGUAACAGGAAUCAGCUUGCUGAUUCGCUGACGAGUGGCGGACGGGUGAGUAAUGUCUGGGAAGCUGCCUG
rnacentral:rRNA from 1 species